UGUGGAGCACGCCGCGUGAGUGAAGAAGGGUUUCGGCUCGUAAAACUCUGUUGUUAAAGAAGAACAUAUCUGAGAGUAACUGUUCAGGUAUUGACGGUAUUUAACCAGAAAGCCACGGCUAACUACGUGCCAGCAGCCGCGGUAAUACGUAGGUGGCAAGCGUUGUCCGGAUUUAUUGGGCGUAAAGCGAGCGCAGGCGGUUUUUUAAGUCUGAUGUGAAAGCCUUCGGCUCAACCGAAGAAGUGCAUCGGAAACUGGGAAACUUGAGUGCAGAAGAGGACAGUGGAACUCCAUGUGUAGCGGUGAAAUGCGUAGAUAUAUGGAAGAACACCAGUGGCGAAGGCGGCUGUCUGGUCUGUAACUGACGCUGAGGCUCGAAAGUAUGGGUAGCAAACAGGAUUAGAUACCCUGGUAGUCCAUACCGUAAACGAUGAAUGCUAAGUGUUGGAGGGUUUCCGCCCUUCAGUGCUGCAGCUAACGCAUUAAGCAUUCCGCCUGGGGAGUACGGCCGCAAGGCUGAAACUCAAAGGAAUUGACGGGGGCCCGCACAAGCGGUGGAGCAUGUGGUUUAAUUCGAAGCUACGCGAAGAACCUUACCAGGUCUUGACAUACUAUGCAAAUCUAAGAGAUUAGACGUUCCCUUCGGGGACAUGGAUACAGGUGGUGCAUGGUUGUCGUCAGCUCGUGUCGUGAGAUGUUGGGUUAAGUCCCGCAACGAGCGCAACCCUUAUUAUCAGUUGCCAGCAUUAAGUUGGGCACUCUGGUGAGACUGCCGGUGACAAACCGGAGGAAGGUGGGGAUGACGUCAAAUCAUCAUGCCCCUUAUGACCUGGGCUACACACGUGCUACAAUGGAUGGUACAACGAGUUGCGAACUCGCGAGAGUAAGCUAAUCUCUUAAAGCCAUUCUCAGUUCGGAUUGUAGGCUG
rnacentral:rRNA from 1 species